AAACACACAACACGAUCAAUCAAACCAACAAAACAAAACAAAUUCAAAAUCAUAAUGUCCAGUCCAAUUAUUACAAACUAAAAUAGAAAAAUACAAAAAAAAAAUUAUAAAUUCUAUUCUAAACUAGUCAUAGGCUAAACUCUGCUGCUUUACCCGCUGCCUCGGUUCUUCAUCACGAUCAUUUUUCACCAACAUAGUACGUCGGGACAUUCCCCGGUGAAUAAAUACAAAUACCUCAGAGCAUUCUCCGGCCAAAUAAAUACACUUUUCAAAUGUGGUAAACAAGACAUUCAACAAAUAUUUCAAACAUUUCAAUAAUCCACCAAUUCUAAAUUUGCCUACCCGUCCUAAUGUUGGUCUGCCCGCUCGACGACAUAUUACGUUCAACAUCAACAAUGAACUAAAAUACCAUAAUAUUCACUUUUUACCAAUUUUCAAUCCCCGUCCUGAUUCAUUCUCAAUCACAUGAUUAAGCAAAUCUCGAUUAAAUCAACCAAGCAAACUACGACAAUUAAAUAAAACUCAAACACAAUAUCAAAAAUUAAUCACCAAACUCAAACAUGAAUAACACAAAUCAACGAUAUCAUCACAUAUAAAAUGAAAAGAGAUAGAGUUUGAGAAUUUGGACCUUAAUUUGGAGAUUUCAAUAUAACAGAAAGAGAAUCGCGUCCGAACUCUUGAACCGAACCUCGACAGCAAAUAAAACUCCAAACCUGAUAUUGAUAAGUAAGGAUCCGAAUUGAUUUGAACCUAGAAUCAACCACAUACAGAUUGAACAAGAACUAUUAAAUCAAUCGAGAUAGAAAUCAUGAAGAACCGAGAAACGCCAUGUCAAAAUCCCACCGGAGUCAACUCGAAUCUCAACGAAAUUAAACAAAAUGUCUACUUCAACUUAUUUCAGUUGUUGGUUUGAAUUUUCAGGGGUGAGAGGGACGAUUUUCGUGGUCAAUAAUGUCUAAUCCGUCGUGUGGCAACGGAUUUCGGUGAGAUCAUCGCCGGAAAGCUUCGAUGCUGUCCGGAUUCAGCAAAAACCAUGGGUAAACAGAGAAAAUAUGGGGAUUUCAGACUGGAACCGUCGAACAGAAGAAAUGGGCACCGAUGAAAUGGAUUCCGGAGAAAAUUUUGCUGGAGAUUCUUAAAGAACGAUCGGAUUUUCACCGAGAUACUGUUCUGAUUAACCCAUAGACUGUUUUAAGUUCAUUUUUAUCCAUUUUUUCUCACUAUUUAUGCCUUCUCAAUCUCCUUCUCUCCAAUUUCUGUAUGUGUGUGCAAUUUUUAGCUUGUAGAAUCGAAAAACAACCAAAAAUAGUAUACCGGCAAUAAGUUCGCCGAAAAAAAACUCGAACCCACCUUCUCCCGCUCGAUCUUCUCUCUCUGCGCUACUCUCUCUUUGUUACUCUCUCUCUCCAUAUGUGUGGUUUUUUUAUAUUUCCAUUCAGUGAGGGUGAGUGAGGAUUUUGUAGAUUUUGUUGUUCAUGGAGAAUAGAGACUCCUUCUGUGUGUGAAUAAUCCUCUUUGCUGUAAGGGCAUAUUGAUGAUGAUGAUGAUGGAGAAAAUCUGUGGGGCCCCCUUUCUUUAUGUGUCUACCUCAAUCGAAAAAUAGGAAAUGUGGUAUUGAUAAAAAACACGUGAAAAAAAUGGGGUACGGUUGGUGGUUGGGUUACG
rnacentral:lncRNA from 1 species